AAUGAACGCUGGCGGCAGGCCUAACACAUGCAAGUCGAACGGAUCCUUCGGGAUUAGUGGCGGACGGGUGAGUAACGCGUGGGAACAUACCCUUUGGUACGGAAUAGCCUCGGGAAACUGGGAGUAAUACCGUAUGUGGUCGAGAGACGAAAGAUUUAUCGCCAAAGGAUUGGCCCGCGUUGGAUUAGGUAGUUAGUGGGGUAAUGGCCUACCAAGCCGACGAUCCAUAGCUGGUUUGAGAGGAUGAUGAGCCACACUGGGACCGAGACACGGCCCAGACUCCUACGGGAGGCAGCAGUGGGGAAUUUUAGACAAUGGGGGAAACCCUGAUCUAGCCAUGCCGCGUGAUCGAUGAAGGCCUUAGGGUUGUAAAGAUCUUUCAGGUGGGAAGAUAAUGACUGUACCACCAGAAGAAGCCCCGGCUAACUCCGUGCCAGCCGCCGCGGUAACAC
rnacentral:rRNA from 1 species